ensembl:snoRNA small nucleolar RNA Z39
CUACAUGUGAUGAAGCAAGUCAGUAUGGAUAAAACUCAUGAUAGCACGUAAAUGCUUUCUGAUGUA